rnacentral:rRNA from 1 species
CCUACGGGUGGCAGCAGUAGGGAAUUUUCGGCAAUGGGGGGAACCCUGACCGAGCAACGCCGCGUGAACGAAGAAGUUAUUCGUAAUGUAAAGUUCUUUUAACAGGGAAGAAAGAGAAAUUUGACGGUACCUGAAGCAUAAGCUCCGGCUAACUACGUGCCAGCAGCCGCGGUAAUACGAGGGGAGCGAGCGUUAUCGGGAAUGAUGGGGGGAAAGGGGUGGGUAGAUGGCAUAGUAAGUCUUUGUGAAAAAUGCUGGGCUCAACCCAGUAGGGCAAAAGAAACUGCAAAGCUAGAGUAUGACAGAGGAAAGUGGAACUACAUGUGUAGCGGUAAAAUGCGUAAAUAUAUGUAAGAACACCAGUGGCGAAGGCGGCUUGCUGGGUCGAUACUGACAUUGAGGCACGAAAGCGUGGGGAGCAAACAGGAUUAGAUACCCUGGUAGUC